UUCCUUGAAAUUGGCGAGUCCAAAAAUUCAAUUAGUACGUACUACUAGUAUGAGAUGGCCAGAUAUUUUUUUCGCAUCAAAAAACCGAAAAAGCACUCUUCGCAAACAUCAACUAGUCAGCAUUGGGGGGCUUUGAAAAAAUUGAUGAUUAAGGAUUAUAUAAGUUAAAAAUAAUUUAGGUGUGAAUAGAACAAACUGUGACUAUCAUUGAACAGCUAACUAAGGCCUCGUUUGUUUGUCAUGUUAGGCAUUGAUAAGCCCACUUAUCCCUCUUAUUUCUUCUGUUUGUUUGCCAUGUUAAGGAAUCUUCAUGAGCAGAGAAAAUAAAGGUGACUCGGUUCAAAUCAUAUUAGUUAACUACUCUUCUUCAGAUAACCCUAACUCAGCAAAAGCCAGUGAUAGGCAUUAUCACAAUUUUCCCAUCUAGCUUUACCAAGUAUUUGUGACCUUAUUACCCCUCCACCUUCUUCUAUCUACAUCCCUAUUCCUCACACCAAAUUCAAUUUUUCUCACAAGGCAGUUAUCAGGAACGGCGAAUUAUAUUUUCAGAUUUCAAAAUCAAUGAAGGCUAGGGAGCGCCUUUAGUUGGAUUCAUUUAUUUCUCAAAAAAUUGGAGGUUGUGAUGUUUCUCCAUGAUGAGAUGUCAAUUACACUAUGUUCUAACUCAAUUUAAGUUGUUGUCCUUUGAAGCAAAUUGGAUGUGAUUGAGAAUAAAGUCUUUGGAUGGGAUGGGGGGCUGUGCUCGCCACUCUACCGCUGCAUCCGGACCGCUUCCAAGAUGGAUCAAUGCUUUUUUUAACUGUUGUACUUCCUCUUGUUUGUUUCAUUGUUGUGUAUUGUUUGACAUGAUGGAUUUUGUGAUUAUUGGUUCAAGAAAGAUUAGUUGUAGUGUUUGACUGGAAUAGAGACGAGGUCCAUCAUCUCAUCAAGUGUUUUUGCUGAGGAAAAGAUGUCAUGAAAGAGCAAAGAGCACCAAGCAAUUGUGCAUUAGAAAAAUUAAUGAGGACAUUUUUGUCCAUACACAUUUA